UGGGGAAUAUUGGGCAAUGGGCGAAAGCCUGACCCAGCGACGCCGCGUGGGUGAUGAAGGCCUUCGGGUUGUAAAGCCCUUUCGUGCGGAAAGAACAGCCCUGUAGUUAAUACCUGCAGGGUUUGACGGUACCGCAGGAAGAAGCACCGGCUAACUCCGCGCCAGCAGCCGCGGUAAUACGGAGGGUGCAAGCGUUGUUCGGAAUUAUUGAGCGUAAAGGGCGCGUAGGUGGUUGUGAUAGUCAGAUGUGAAAUCCUUCGGCUCAACCGAAGAACUGCAUCUGAAACUUCAUAGCUCGAGUACAGGAGAGGGAAACGGAAUUCCCGGUGUAGAGGUGAAAUUCGUAGAUAUCGGGAGGAACACCAGUGGCGAAGGCGGUUUCCUGGCCUGAUACUGACGCUGAGGCGCGAAAGCGUGGGGAGCAAACAG
rnacentral:rRNA from 1 species